UGCAGUCGAACGGGCGUAGCAAUACGUCAGUGGCAGACGGGUGAGUAACACGUGGGAACGUACCUUUUGGUUCGGAACAACUGAGGGAAACUUCAGCUAAUACCGGAUAAGCCCUUACGGGGAAAGAUUUAUCGCCGAAAGAUCGGCCCGCGUCUGAUUAGCUAGUUGGUGAGGUAAUGGCUCACCAAGGCGACGAUCAGUAGCUGGUCUGAGAGGAUGAUCAGCCACAUUGGGACUGAGACACGGCCCAAACUCCUACGGGAGGCAGCAGUGGGGAAUAUUGGACAAUGGGCGCAAGCCUGAUCCAGCCAUGCCGCGUGAGUGAUGAAGGCCCUAGGGUUGUAAAGCUCUUUUGUGCGGGAAGAUAAUGACGGUACCGCAAGAAUAAGCCCCGGCUAACUUCGUGCCAGCAGCCGCGGUAAUACGAAGGGGGCUAGCGUUGCUCGGAAUCACUGGGCGUAAAGGGCGCGUAGGCGGGUCUUUAAGUCAGAGGUGAAAUCCUGGAGCUCAACUCCAGAACUGCCUUUGAUACUGAGGAUCUUGAGUAUGGGAGAGGUGAGUGGAACUGCGAGUGUAGAGGUGAAAUUCGUAGAUAUUCGCAAGAACACCAGUGGCGAAGGCGGCUCACUGGCCCAUUACUGACGCUGAGGCACGAAAGCGUGGGGAGCAAACAGGAUUAGAUA
rnacentral:rRNA from 1 species